rnacentral:misc_RNA from 1 species
AAAAUGUACAUGGGAAAAUGAUGGUGCUUUUGGUACACAUUAUUUUCUCAGGUUGGUAAAAUAUUUCCAUUUAGUACUUAAAAACAGACAAGGAAACGCUAUUCAGUUUUGAAGUUGGUUUCAAACCAUGGCAGCCAACACUACUCACAUAAAUCCCUAAUGUUGUGCAUAACCCUAAACUAAGUAAACAGUUAUCUACAAUCUUUCCAUCGAGGCAGGUUCUUAUUGACUUUUAG